UAUAUCUCCACCUGUGCACUUUUUGUAGACCUUUCAGGUCUAUGUUGCUUCAUUUACCCCAAUGUAUGUUAAUAGAAUGUUGUGCCUAUAUAAUAUAUACAACUUUCAGCAACGGAUCUCUUGGCUCUCGCAUCGAUGAAGAACGCAGCGAAAUGCGAUAAGUAAUGUGAAUUGCAGAAUUCAGUGAAUCAUCGAAUCUUUGAACGCACCUUGCGCUCCUUGGUAUUCCGAGGAGCAUGCCUGUUUGAGUGUCAUUAAUAUAUCAACCUUCUCUUUUUUGAGUUGUUUGGAUGUGGGGGUUUGCUGGCAUCUUAAAUGAUUCAGCUCCCCUGAAAUGCAUUAGCAGAACAACCUGUUCAUUGGCGUGAUAAUUAUCUAUGCUAUUGAAUGUGAGGGCAGUUCAGCUUUCUAACCGUCCUCGGACAAUUCAUCAUUAAUGUGACCUCAAAUCAGGUAGGACUACCCGCUGAACUUAA
rnacentral:rRNA from 1 species